rnacentral:rRNA from 1 species
AUUGAACGCUGGCGGCAUGCCUUACACAUGCAAGUCGAACGGUAACGGGCCUUCGGGUGCCGACGAGUGGCGAACGGGUGAGUAAUGCAUCGGAACGUACCUUUCAGUGGGGGGAUAACGUAGCGAAAGUUACGCUAAUACCGCAUAUUCUGUGAGCAGGAAAGCAGGGGAUCGCAAGACCUUGCGCUGAUUGAGCGGCCGAUGUCAGAUUAGCUAGUUGGUGAGGUAAAGGCUCACCAAGGCGACGAUCUGUAGCGGGUCUGAGAGGAUGAUCCGCCACACUGGAACUGAGACACGGUCCAGACUCCUACGGGAGGCAGC